rnacentral:rRNA from 1 species
UUCAGUGUCGCAGCGAAAGCGAUAAACACACCGCCUGGGGAGUACGACCGCAAGGUUAAAACUCAAAUGAAUUGACGGGGACCCGCACAAGUAGUGGAGCAUGUGGUUUAAUUCGAAGAUACGCGCAGAACCUUACCAACACUUGACAUGUUCGUCGCGACUCUAAGAGAUUAGAGUUUUCGGUUCGGCCGGACGAAACACAGGUGCUGCAUGGCUGUCGUCAGCUCGUGUCGUGAGAUGUUGGGUUAAGUCCCGCAACGAGCGCAACCCUUACUUUUAGUUGCCAUCAUUUAGUUGGGCACUCUGAAAGAACUGCCAGUGAUAAGCUGGAGGAAGGUGGGGAUGACGUCAAGUCCUCAUGGCCCUUACGUGUUGGGCUACACACGUGCUACAAUGGUAUCUACAACAGGAAGCAAGAUGGCAACGUUAAGCAAAUCCCAAAAAGAUACCUCAGUUCGGAUUGCACUCUGCAACUCGAGUGCAUGAAGCUGGAAUUACUAGUAAUCGUGGAUCAGCGUGCCACGGUGAAUACGUUCCCGGGUCUUGUACACACCGCCCGUCACACCAUGGGAGUUGGUUCUACCUUAAGGCAAAGUUUAAAACCUUUGACCACGGUAUAGUCAGCGACUGGGGUG